rnacentral:rRNA from 1 species
GACGAACGCUGGCGGCGUGCCUAAUACAUGCAAGUCGAGCGAAGUUUUUCUGGUGCUUGCACUAGAAAAACUUAGCGGCGAACGGGUGAGUAACACGUAAAGAACCUGCCUCAUAGACUGGGACAACUAUUGGAAACGAUAGCUAAUACCGGAUAACAGUAUUUCUCGCAUGGGAGAUAUUUAAAAGUUGGUUAUGCUAACACUAUGAGAUGGCUUUGCGGUGCAUUAGCUAGUUGGUGGGGUAAAGGCCUACCAAGGCGACGAUGCAUAGCCGACCUGAGAGGGUGAUCGGCCACACUGGGACUGAGACACGGCCCAGACUCCUACGGGAGGCAGCAGUAGGGAAUCUUCCGCAAUGGGCGAAAGCCUGACGGAGCAACGCCGCGUGAGUGAAGAAGGAUUUCGGUUCGUAAAGCUCUGUUGUUAGGGAAGAAUGGAUAUGUAGUAACUAU